rnacentral:misc_RNA from 1 species
GAUAAUAAUAUCUUAUCCCUAGACUCGAAUAGUCGCUCGAUUCAUAUCAUUAAUCAAAACGGAAAUUUUCUUAAAAUAUUCAGUCCUUUCAUUGGUGGUCCGGGGACUCCAAAGUUGAAAGCCAUUUGCGUUUACAAGGAAGACAAACUGCUUGUUGGACAAGAUACAGGAAAAAUUCGUGUAUUUAAAAACCCAAGCCUAUCAGAUGUAACAAAACUGUAGGAAACUAUUAGUAUAUUUUAGAAACUUGAAAAGAAAGCAUAGGGACAGUUAAUAUGGCAUAUUUCAUUGGCUAUUGGGGUACGUAAGAACUGUCUCUGAAAGCAGAAGGUCUCUUGGUGACAGUAUAAAAUAAAUCACAUGCAUCAAUUUUAUUUUAUUGUGUCAUAAAAGUUCUGUUAAAUUUAUGACUAUAGAUAAUACUAAUUAAAAUUAUAAAAAUCCAUAAUUUAUACUUUUUGUAUAAGCACAAGGUUUAAUAUUGAGAAGACUCUUUUUUGCCUUGUCACUGGUGAACCAUUGUUACGGAUUAUCGAGAAAGAGGUCACUUUGAACGUUUUACAGCAUUUGUUUUGUAGUUAUGAAUUAAAAAUUUUAUUACAUAUUUUUUUAUAGCUAUGAAUGAAGAAUUUUAUCACAGAUAUGAUUGAUUGCUCUUUGUGUGUUUCUGUAACAAUAAUAAUAUACUUUACGCAGAAAUAACCCAGAUUACAUUGACUUAGUUUGUUCUCUGUGAACAACGGAUAUAACUAGUGUUUUCAUGUAGGUUUAGUUUUGAAAGAAAUGAGAGCAAAGGGAAUGAUAGAAGAUAAAAAGGGAUAUUUUUCUUAAACCGAUAAAUCGAAAAUGCGUAGUGACAUUUAAAUGGACUAUAAAUAAGAAAAGAUUGGAAAUUUAUACAUGUAUGUAUAUGAGCAUUGGGAAGAUGAAUUAAUUAUGAAGCCUUAGAAUUAACUAAAUAUCUAUGAUACAAUAAAUUAA